rnacentral:lncRNA from 1 species
CUUAGACCCAAUUUCUCAUAUUAAUAAGAUUAUAUAACAAUCCAUAUCUAUCAAUAUCUAUAUCUACAUCUAUAUCUAUACUAUAUAUAAAAAUAUAUAAAAAUUCCGAUAAUAACAAACAAAAUUCAAAAAAAAAUAAAAAAAUAUUUCCUAUAUUUCCUACAAACGAGUAUGAUCACUUAAUUAAAAAAAUCACAAAUAACAACGAACAGUUAUGAUUAAUCUAUUAAAAAAUAACAUUCUUAUCUAUCUAUAAAUCCAAUUCUACGAACGGUUGUAUUAAUUAAAAAUGAACGUUUCACCUAAUUAAAAAAAUCUCAAAUAAGAACGACGGUUAUGAUUAAUGUGUUAAAAAAUAAUAUUCUUAUCCAAAAAUUUUAAUUAUAGUGGAUCAAAAUUAAAUUUUAAAUUUUAAAAUAAAUAUGAA